rnacentral:misc_RNA from 1 species
CGUCAUUUCACCACUCAAGCCUAGCUUGGCCUUGGGCGCCGCGGCCUGGCCGCGCGCCCCAAUUUCUUCGGCUGAGCCGUCCGUCUCAAAGCGUUGUGGUAACUCAAUUCGCUUGCGGGAUCGGAGGGCUCGCGCGCCGUCACAAACCCCAUCACGAAAAGGUUGACCUCGGAUCAGGUAGGGAUACCCGCUGAACUUAA